AUUGAACGCUGGCGGCAGGCUUAACACAUGCAAGUCGAGCGAGCGGCGGACGGGUUAGUUAUGUCUGGGAAACUUCCUGAUGGAGGGGGAUCACUACUGGACACGGUAGCUACUAACGCCUACCUUCAGAUGUGCCCAGAUGGGAUUCUCUAGUGGGUGGGGGAAGGGCUCACCUAGGCGACGAUCCCUAGCUGGUCUGUGAGGCUGACCGGCCACACUGGAACUGAGACACGGUCCAGACUCCUACGGGAGGCAGCAGGGGGGAAUAUGGCACAAUGGGCGCAAGCCUGAUGCAGCCAUGCCGCGUGUGUGAAGAAGGCCUACGGGUUUUAAAGCACUUUCAGCGGGGAGGCGUUACUCGCAGAAGAAGCACCGGCUAACUCCGUGCCAGCCGCCGCGGUAAUAC
rnacentral:rRNA from 1 species